rnacentral:misc_RNA from 1 species
AUCCAAUACAAACUGAGGAAUAAACUGAAUGCCAUAUUCUUUAACAAGAAGCACACUUUGAUCUCUUAACGAGGCUAAGAGAUCAUCGUAGUAGCAAGAAGGAUACAACAUCAACUUAGCAACAUGGGUAUUGAUGGAUGAUGAUGUGGUAUCGUUAAUCUGAUAAUAAUAGUAGCAAGUUCCUAUCGAAUAUAAUUAUACAGUGGAAGAGGAGUAAUUUUCUUUCUCUAUGCAAAAAAUGAUAUGUUUAUUACCAUCUAAUCUAUCAUAAUGAAUAUUCUUCUUUGAUUUACAAUUUCUAUGUGAUGAGCAGGAUUAUGCUCUGAAGGUCAUCA